rfam:Candidatus Wallbacteria bacterium GWC2_49_35 gwc2_scaffold_24759, whole genome shotgun sequence.
GGAAAGGAUGCGUCUGGUGGCGCGGCUGGUCUUCAAAACCAGUAGGGGGCAGUGAUGUCCCUGGUGGGUUCGAUUCCUACCCUUUUCC